CAGCAGCCACGGUAAUACGUAGGGUGCGAGCGUUAAUCGGAAUUACUGGGCGUAAAGCGUGCGCAGGCGGUUAUAUAAGACAGAUGUGAAAUCCCCGGGCUCAACCUGGGACCUGCAUUUGUGACUGUAUAGCUAGAGUACGGUAGAGGGGGAUGGAAUUCCGCGUGUAGCAGUGAAAUGCGUAGAUAUGUGGAGGAAUACCGAUGGCGAAGGCGGCCCCCUGGGAUAACACUGACGCUCAUGCACGAAAGCGUGGGGAGCAAACAGGAUUAGAUACCCCCGUAGUCCCUGUCUCUUAUAC
rnacentral:rRNA from 1 species